GACGAACGCUGGCGGCGUGCCUAAUACAUGCAAGUCGAACGAGAGCGACCGGUGCUUGCACUGGUCAAUCUAGUGGCGAACGGGUGAGUAACACGUGGGUAACCUGCCCAUCAGAGGGGGAUAACAUCCGGAAACGGAUGCUAAAACCGCAUAGGUCUUCGAGCCGCAUGGCUUGAAGAGGAAAAGAGGCGCAAGCUUCUGCUGAUGGAUGGACCCGCGGUGCAUUAGCUAGUUGGUGAGGUAACGGCUCACCAAGGCCGUGAUGCAUAGCCGACCUGAGAGGGUUAUUGGCCACAUUGGGACUGAGACACGGCCCAAACUCCUACGGGAGGCAGCAGUAGGGAACCUUCCGCAAUGGACGCAAGUCUGACGGAGCAACGCCGCGUGAGUGAAGAAGGUUUUCGGAUCGUNAAACU
rnacentral:rRNA from 1 species